UACAUGGGGUGCAAACGUUGCUCGGAAUUAUUGGGCGUAAAGCGCACGUAGGUGGUCUGUUAUGUCAGAUGUGAAAGCCCUCGGCUUAACUGAGGAAGUGCACCUGAAACUGGCAGGCUUGAGUACGAAAGAGGGUCGCGGAAUUCCCGGUGUAGAGGUGAAAUUCGUAGAUAUCGGGAGGAACAUCGGUGGCGAAGGCGGCCUUCUGGACGGUGACUGACGCUGAGACGCGAAAGCGUGGGGAGCAAACAGG
rnacentral:rRNA from 1 species